CCUACGUGGGGCUGCAGUGAGGAAUAUUGGUCAAUGGGCGCGAGCCUGAACCAGCCAAGUAGCGUGAAGGAUGACUGCCCUACGGGUUGUAAACUUCUUUUAUAAAGGAAUAAAGUGAGGCACGUGUGCCUUUUUGUAUGUACUUUAUGAAUAAGGAUCGGCUAACUCCGUGCCAGCAGCCGCGGUAAUACGGAGGAUCCGAGCGUUAUCCGGAUUUAUUGGGUUUAAAGGGAGCGUAGAUGGGUUGUUAAGUCAGUUGUGAAAGUUUGCGGCUCAACCGUAAAAUUGCAAUUGGUACUGGCAGUCUUGAGUACAGUUGAGGGAGGCGGAAUUCGUGGUGUAGCGGUGAAAUGCUUAGAUAUCACGAAGAACUCCGAUUGCGAAGGCAGCUUACUAAACUGCCACUGACAUUGAUGCUCGAAAGUGUGGGUAUCAAACAGGAUUAGAUACCCCAGUAGUC
rnacentral:rRNA from 1 species